rnacentral:lncRNA from 1 species
ACAAGUCACUUGACCAAAGUCACUGAGCUGGCUGGGCGCAAUGGCUCACGCCUGUAAUUCCAGCACUUUGGGAGGCCGAGGCGGGUGGAUCACCUGAGGUCAGGAGUUCGAGACCAGCCUGACCAACAUGGUGAAACCCCGUCUCUACUAAUAAUACAAAAUUAGCCGGGCAUGGUGCUGGGCACCUGUCAUCCAGGCUACUCGGGAGGUUGAGGCGGGAGAAUCACUUGAACCCAGGAGGUGGAGGUUGCAGUGAGCCGAGAUCACAUCAUUGCACUCCAGCCUGGGCAACAAGAGUGAAACUUUGUCUCAAAAAAAACCAAAAAAACAACAACAAAAAAAAAACAAAGUCACAGAGCUAGGAUACAAACCCAGGCCACCUGGCUCCAGGGUCUGUGCUCUUAGCUCUCCCUUCCCUGCUCCUGCCCCUGACCCACCCCCUCCCUGACAGUCGGACCCUUUCCUGGGGAUGAUUAUGGGCCUCGGAGGAGGCAUGGACUUUGACUCCAAGAAGGCCUACAGGGACGUGGCCUGGCUGGGUGAAUGCGACCAGGGCUGCCUGGCCCUUGCUGAGCUCCUUGGAUGGAAGAAGGAGCUGGAGGACCU